GUCCGCGCCAGCCAGCGUCUGAGUCCAGGACGCAGCGCCAGCGAGGCUUCACGCACUUCGCCGGAUCCCGCCCGCCGCUGGCGCCCCUUCCUCCCUCUCUCCCUCCUCCAGGAGGCGCUGGUAGCAAGGAAGCAAGAGGUGACAGCUUGAACCGGGGACUUGUAAAGGACCCACAGCAGAGAGCGGUUUUCACCCUGAGAUUGAGUGUAUAUCAGAUCCCUCUUCAUUCCUCCAUCUGGCCUUCCUCUGCUGACCUUGUAGAAGACCAUGGACUUCUGCUUGGAUAAAAAGACUACUACUAAUAUUUAUCAUUAUUGAACACUAGUUCUGGACCAGGCACAUUCAUCCAUUUUUAUAUACCUUUCUCUGUUCAUUCCAUAUAACAUUUCUCUUUUCUUUAUUUACACUCAUAUUUAGCUUUAUGUAACUUAACACUUGAUUAUAAAUUGCAGAUAUAGUUUAUAAUCAAAGAGGGGCAUGGUAAGGAUAGUUUGACUAAAGGGAAGAUUAGAAAAAUGUAACUAAAGGGAAAUGAUACUGCAUAUGCUGUAUUUAGGAUUUGAUAUCAUGUCCUCAAAAUUUAGUAUUCAGGUAGUUUACAAUAGAAAAACAAUUACCUUGCUCAUCCCCAAUAAUUAAUCAUGUGGUUACAAAAUAUGUUUCUCCAAAAAUGAUGAAGUAAUACAUGAAGUAAUGUAUAACUGCUUUUGAAUUUCAAUUUAAUUGAGUA